UAACCUACCUUAAAGACGAAGAUAACCCCGUUGAAACUGGGACUAAUACUCGAUAGAUCAUGACACCUGGAACGGGUUGUGAUCCAAAGGGGUAGAUGAAUAUGUUCAUCUAUUUGCUUUAAGAUGGGGCUGCGACCGAUCAUGGUUGUUGGUGGGGUAAUGGCCCACCAAGCCUAUAACCGGUACGGGCUUUGAGAGAAGGAGCCCGGAGAUGGACACUGAGAAAAGGGUCUAGGUCCUACGGGGCGCAGCAGGCGCGAAAACUUCGCAAUGUGCGCAAGCACGACGAGGUUACUCUGAGUGUCACCCGCUGAGGGUGACUUUUACUAGGCGUAAAUAAUCUAGGGAAUAAGGGGAGGGCAAGUCUGGUGUCAGCCGCCGCGGUAAUACCAGCUCCCCAAGUGGUUAGGAUGUUUAUUGGGCCUAAAGUAUCCGUAGCCGGUCUUGUAGGUCUUCUGUUAAAUCCACCAGCUCAACUGUUGGGCCGCAGAAGAUACCGCAGGACUAGGAGGCGGGAGAGGUGGACGGUACUUUAUGGGUAGGGGUAAAAUCUUUUGAUCCAUAGAAGACCACCAGUGGCGAAGGCGGUCCACCAGAACGCGCUCGACGGUGAGGGAUGAAAGCUGGGGGAGCGAACCGGAUUAGAUACCCGGGUAGUCCCAGCUGUAAACGAUGCGAGCUAGGUGAUGGGGUGGCUGCGAGCCAUCCCAGUGCCCCAGGGAAGCCGUUAAGCUCGCCGCCUGGGAAGUACGACCGCAAGGUUGAAACUUAAAGGAAUUGGCGGGGGAGCACCACAAGGGGUGAAGCCUGCGGUUCAAUUGGAUUCAACGCCGGG
rnacentral:rRNA from 1 species